rnacentral:rRNA from 1 species
AGAGUUUGAUCAUGGCUCAGGAUGAACGCUGGCGGCGUGCUUAACACAUGCAAGUCGAACGAAUCAGCAACUAGUGGAAGCGAGUUUGAGAUGUGGACGCGAGAAAUCGCACGAAGCAUUGAGAGCGAGUAGAAGCUAAAAGCUGGUUAGUGGCGAACGGGUGAGUAACACGUUGGUGACCUGCCUCAAAGCGGGGGAUAACUACCCGAAAGGGUAGCUAAUACCGCAUGUGCUUCGCCAGUCGAAUGGUGAAGGAAAGGAGCGAUCCACUUUGAGAGGGGCCUGCGGCCUAUCAGCUAGUUGGCGGGGUAAAGGCCCACCAAGGCUAUGACGGGUAGCUGGUCUGAGAGGAUGAUCAGCCACACUGGCACUGAGAUACGGGCCAGACUCCUACGGGAGGCAGCAGUGAGGAAUAUUGCGCAACGGACGCAAGUCUGGCGCAGCAACGCCGCGUGGGCGAUGAAGGUCUUCGGAUCGUAAAGCCCUUUUCUAGAGGAAGAGGAAGGACGGUACUCUAGGAAUAAGUCUCGGCUAACUACGUGCCAGCAGCCGCGGUAAAACGUAGGAGACAAGCGUUAUCCGGAUUCAUUGGGCGUAAAGGGCAUGUAGGUGGUGCCUUAAGUUGGAUGUGAAAUCUCCCGGCUUAACUGGGAGGGGUCAUCCAAAACUGGGGCUCUUGAGGGCAGGAGAGGGAAAUGGAAUUCCCGGUGUAGCGGUGGAAUGCGUAGAUAUCGGGAGGAACACCAGUGGCGAAAGCGGUUUCCUGGCCUGCAUCUGACACUGAUAUGCGAAAGCUAGGGGAGCAAACGGGAUUAGAUACCCCGGUAGUCCUAGCUGUAAACGAUGGAUACUAGGUGUUGGUGGUAUCAACCCCACCAGUGCCGUAGUCAACACGUUAAGUAUCCCGCCUGGGGAGUACGACCGCAAGGUUAAAACUCAAAGGAAUUUGACGGGGGCCUCGCACAAGCAGCGGAGCGUG